rnacentral:tRNA from 1 species
CACAACAGAGGUUAGAAUCCUCUCACUUCC